AGUUUUGAGCUAAAUAUAUUAUAAUAUUAGUUUAUUUAUGAAGGUGUUGUAAAAUCUUUAUUUAAAAUUAUAUUUAGGGGUGAUAGGCCUUUCAAAAACUAAGAUAUCUUGAAUCUAAUUAAAAGUAUGUAGUACAAUUAACACAACUAUUAAGUGAUUAGGCUUUAUAGAAUUAUUUAACUUAUAAGAUUUUAUUUACUAUAAUUUAAUAAUUAAGUACAUAAAUAUAUUAAUAUUCAUAUAUUAUAGUUUAUAAAAGAGUAAUUAGAUAGAUUUAAGUUCAUAUUUCUUAUAAUAAUGUUAAUAUUAGUAUUAAGUUUAUAUUUAUAUGAUGAACUCGGCAAAAAUACUUUCUCAACUGUUUAUCAAAAACAUAACUAUGUGAUUGAAUACAUAGCGGUUUCUGCUCAA
rnacentral:rRNA from 1 species